GUUUGAGGCCCCGGCGCUGGCCGAAGGCUUCUCUGAGAUCCUGAAGAUCCCAUUCCGCCUGCAGCUGGAGCCGCCGCUGGAGCGGCUGUACCGCCAGUUCUCCGAGGGCUGAGCCCCGCCGUCGUCCCCGCCCUUCCUUCCCCACACAAUAAACGCCGCGCUUCCCGCACGCUUGGCCAGCAUCUUGCUGGGAAGGGUGGGCCUCCCGGGGGUAACAGGCCGGGGCCAGGCGGGGCAGGGCCGGCUCUGUGGCUCUGCAGAUGGAGGCUCUGGGCGCACCUGACCCAAGGCGCCAGGCCCGCCCAAGCUGACCCUGCCCUGUCCCACCUGGGUCAGUCUGGACGCUUUAGCCCAGGCCCCGGGUCACAUCCGGGCCUGCUUGUAUCCUAACCACUCGGGCCCUGCAUUAGAGCCGCUGCCACCAGUGCCCCAUGAGGGCAAAUGCUCAGGACGCAGGUUCCCUGCCACUACCUGGGGCCCGGGAUGACGUGGGCCUCGACGUGCGUCCAGAGUGAGGCAAACGCAGUCCAGCGGAGGAGACCCGCCACCUGGGUUUACAGCUGCAGGGACUGCAGGGGACAGCACACAACCUCCGACAGACACAUGGCUUCUCCCCACCAUUCCCUGGUCCUCACAGCAGGGUACAACCCAACCAGGUGACCCGGAAGCCCACACUUUUCUUUCCAGCCUUGUUGAGUGGCGGACCGGACCACCCUCCAGGCCUGCUGUAAAUGCGAGUUCCCAGGCCUUUGGGGCUCCACCUCCUGGUACCACAGCUGGGGCAGCAGCUGCGCAGUGAGCAAAGGUUCCGCUGCAGGACCUGCUGCUGGUUAGCUAUGACGCGCCGGAUGCCGUUGAUGAAGCCGCUCUGGUCAUGGGGGAUGAGGCCAAUGAAGAUCUUCUUCUCGCAGGAGUAGAGGAGCAUGAGCACGCGCACCUCGCAGGGGGCCGUGUGCGGGAAGUGCAGGCAGCCAGCCUGGGGACACAGGAGCUGUCACCCGGGGCCCCCCUGCUGCCACAGCACCCGCCAGGCUAGAGGAUGUGGACGCAGGCUGAGAGUGGUGCUGGCUCACACCUGGCAGGGUCACCAGAGUGGCCCAGACAGCGGCAGCCACGAAGACAGAGGCCAGCUCACACCUGAUAGUGGACGCUGCCCAGAAGGGUGGGCGGAGGUCUAAGCCCUACCUUUCUGCCAGGGGCAAAGGCGUCAACACUGCAGGCAGCAAUGCUGCCAGGAACACAGGUCUCGUGGAGGCCCGGGACUUGGAACAGUGACAGUGACACUGCUAGCCAGGGGCUCCCGAUGAUGGGCCUCGUGGAUCCUGCAUAAGAACCACCUCCCACCUUACAAAGGAGAAACUGAGGCAAAGUGCAGGAGGGACUUGGGGGGGCUCCUCAGGGAGCUGCCUGGGAAAGUCACACCCUCAGACCCGCAACCUCACCGGCGCCACCUAGACCAACGGACACAGUGACCUCAGAGCAAGUGUCUCCCAGUGCACUGAGCAGCAGGACACAGGGCAGAUGCCAGCGGAAGGCUCUGCAGCACAGAAGGCCAACUGUCCCCGCAGAUGGGGUUGGAGGCCCACAGACCGGAGGGGCACCAGGUACUCGAGGCUGGGGGAGCCUUUGAGAGGGGUUGGGCUGGAGCCUGGGUGUCCCAGAGAGAACCCCGGGCAUUGGGGUUGGGACAGCCCGCACUCCCUCUCCGAGUCACCUGGACACGCGCACCCCUCCCGCAGGCUGCCCCUCCAGAUGGGCUGGUCCUGGACAAGUGGGCUCGCAGGUACAGGAGCCGCCUGCCCCAGGCAGGCACUCGGGCCUCCCCACUGCCGCAAGACUCACAAAGCCGUUGUCCAUGAUGCGGCACAGGCUCUUCAGUGUCUCCAGGUCCUUGGUGAAGUGGAACUGCACAAGGCGCGAGUUCCGGAAGAGCGGCACCAGCGUGGUCUGCGGGGAUGCCAGACGGCACCAUGGGCCCCUAGGUCUCCAUCCUGUUCCCGGACAGCAGCCAGCAGCCCACUGUCCUACGCUCUGAGAACCUGGGCACUUAGCCCGCCUGCCCUGCCUCACCUCACCCCGAGCCCCAGAGCUGGCCUACGGCCCUGCCAACCUUCCGCCUCCAGGCCACCCUGCCGGCCCUCGGCCACGCACCAGCAGCUGCUGCGGGAUGAGCUGCAUGUACAGCUUCCUUGGCCACUGCUCAGUCCUCCUGGGGGAUAGAGGGCGGUGUCAGCCAGAGCCCUGCUGAGGUGCGGCCUCCGGCCCCAGCCCAGCACUCACAGGAUCUCCCCUUGGUUCACAUAGACGUGUGAUGGCAGCCACCUCUUGGACCGACUGUUGGGCUCAGGCCUGGGCUUUGGGGUACAGGAGAGAGACCUCAGGGACUGGGGACACCAUGGGCCACACCCCACAGCCCAGGUGGUGACCUGCUCUGGUCCCCGUCCCCAGGCUGUCCAGGGCUCACCUCCUGCCACUCCAUGACUCCACUCCACGCCAGGAACUUGUUGUUGACGACCUGGACGGGGCCCGAGUGGACACCACCAGGUCCCACUGCCUGUGGGAGAGCAGCAGGUGGGCCAUGCACCUGCCCACACCCACUUGCUGCCCUGUCCCCAGACAAGUCCCACCCAGCACCCCACUGGCACAUCAAGCCCUCGGCCUGCUUCCAGUGAGUGGGCAGCCAUGUGCCUGGCACAGUCUGGGAUGCAGCACCCCGCCCUCCAGAAGGCAGAACUGUUGGGAGAGAGCUGGACACAGCUGCUCCCUCUUGGGCCAGGCCACACCCAGCCAGCACACCUGCUUGCGGGUGGUGAUGACCUGCCGGAUGGCGUUGACGAAGCCGCUCUGGUCAUAGGGGAUGAGGCCCAUGAAGAUCUUCUUCUUGGACGAGUAGAGGAGCAUGAGCACGCGCACCUCGCAGGGGGAGAUGUGGGGAAACAGCAUGCAGCCGGCCUGCAGGGGACCAGUGGUCAGCACUCCGGCGCUGCUCCCCGCUCACACUGACCCCUGUCCCGCCUGGCACUGAGGCCAAUGGACACGGCCCUCAGGGUCAAAACUAUGGUCCAGGGCCAGGUGUGGUGGCACACAGCACUCGGGAGCCUGAGACGGGAUCGCUGGGCUACAAGAUGAGACCCCGUCUCAAAAAAAA